rnacentral:rRNA from 2 species
GACUGGGGUGAAGUCGUAACAAGGUAACCGUAGGGGAACCUGCGGUUGGAUCACCUCCUUACCAAGAAG